AUUGAACGCUGGCGGCAGGCCUAAUACAUGCAAGUCGAGCGGAGCGGCGGACGGGUGAGUAAUGCCUAGGAAUCUGCCUGGUAGUGGGGGAUAACGUCCGGACACGGGCCCUAAUACCGCAUCCUUUCAGAUGACCCUAGGUCGGAUUAGCUAGUUGGUGGGGUAAAGGCCUACCAAGGCGACUUGCCGUAGCUGAUCUGAGAGGAUGAUCGGUCACACUGGAACUGAGACACGGUCCAGACUCCGACGGGAGGCAGCAGUGGGGAAUAUUGCGCAAUGGGCGAAAGCCUGAUGCAGCCAUGCCGCGUGUGUGAAGAAGGUCUUCGGAUUGUAAAGCACUGUAAGUUGGGAGGCGUUACCAACAGAGUAAGCACCGGCUAACUUCGUGCCAGCAGCCGCGGUAAUAC
rnacentral:rRNA from 1 species